rnacentral:rRNA from 1 species
UACGGGGGGGGCAAGCGUUGUUCGGAAUUACUGGGCGUAAAGGGCUCGUAGGCGGCCAACUAAGUCGGAUGUGAAAUCCCCAGGCUCAACCUGGGAGCUGCAUCCGAUACUGGAUGGCUUGAAUCCGGGAGAGGGAUGCAGAAUUCCAGGUGUAGCGGUGAAAUGCGUAGAUAUCUGGAGGAAUACCGGUGGCGAAGGCGGCAUCCUGGACCGGCAUUGAUGCUGAGGAGCGAAAGCUAGGGGAGCAAACGGG